rnacentral:rRNA from 1 species
UGCCUUAGUAACGGCGAGUGAAGCGGCAAAAGCUCAAAUUUGAAAUCGGCCACCAGGUCGAGUUGUAAUUUGUAGAUUGUAUCUUGAGAGCGGAUUAAAGUCUGUUGGAACACAGCGCCUUAGAGGGUGACAGCCCCGUAAAAUCUAUCUCAUUGUAAGAUACUUUCGAAGAGUCGAGUUGUUUGGGAAUGCAGCUCUAAGUGGGAGGUAAAUUCCUUCUAAAGCUAAAUAUUGACGAGAGACCGAUAGCGAACAAGUACUGUGAAGGAAAGAUGAAAAGCACUUUGAAAAGAGAGUGAAAAAGUACGUGAAAUUGUUAAAAGGGAAGGGUAUUGAAUCAGACUUGGUGCUGUUGUUCAACUGUGUUUCGGCAUAGUGUACUCAGCAGUACUAGGCCAAGGUGGGGUGUUUGUGAAAAAGAAGUUGGAACGUAACUCUUCGGAGUGUUAUAGCCUACUUUCAUAGCUCCUCAGGCGCCUCAGGACUGCGCUUCGGCAAGGAAACCUUGGCAUAAUGAUUCUAUACCGCCCGUCUUGAACC